rnacentral:rRNA from 1 species
GCAAGUCGAACGCACGAAGUUGAAGAGCUUGCUCUUUAACCAAGUGAGUGGCGGACGGGUGAGUAACACGUGGGUAACCUGCCCAUUAGAGGGGGAUAACAUUCGGAAACGGAUGCUAAUACCGCAUAGUUUCAGGAAUCGCAUGAUUCUUGAAGGAAAGGUGGCUUCGGCUACCACUAAUGGAUGGACCCGCGGCGUAUUAGCUAGUUGGUGAGGUAAUGGCUCACCAAGGCAAUGAUACGUAGCCGACCUGAGAGGGUGAUCGGCCACACUGGGACUGAGACACGGCCCAGACUCCUACGGGAGGCAGCAGUAGGGAAUCUUCCGCAAUGGACGAAAGUCUGACGGAGCAACGCCGCGUGAGUGAAGAAGGUUUUCGGAUCGUAAAACUCUGUUGUUAAAGAAGAACAAGGAUGAGAGUAACUGCUCAUCCCCUGACGGUAUUUAACCAGAAAGCCACGGCUAACUACGUGCCAGCAGCCGCGGUAAUACGUAGGUGGCAAGCGUUGUCCGGAUUUAUUGGGCGUAAAGCGAGCGCAGGCGGUUCUUUAAGUCUGAUGUGAAAGCCCCCGGCUCAACCGGGGAGGGUCAUUGGAAACUGGAGAACUUGAGUGCAGAAGAGGAGAGUGGAAUUCCACGUGUAGCGGUGAAAUGCGUAGAUAUGUGGAGGAACACCAGUGGCGAAGGCGACUCUCUGGUCUGUAAC